rnacentral:lncRNA from 1 species
GGCUGACUUUUAAUACUGACACAGAUCCAGGAAAAAUCCUUCUGGAAAGAAGAAUUCUGAAGUAACAGUAACAAAUGCUUUCUUUUUAUAAAUCUUGGGUUGCUGUGUUUUUUUAGCACCUUGAUAAAGUUAUCUUAACAUUUUCAUAGUUAACCUUUGAAUAGUUACAGUUUAUUAAGAUUAACAAGAGUCCAUUUUUACAUACUCUUGUAAAGGUAUUGUCUCUUGAAGCUGUUUCUUCAGCUGCCUUUUAGGUGAAAUUUUAGGAAAUUUUAGAAAUUUUAGGAAUCUUAAAAUUUAGGUUAAUUCAGUGGAUUGAGUGCCAGAGGAAGAAAAUAUGUUAGAGUGUUACUGAGUUUUUCUAACCUGUUAAUACUUCUGGGUUUUGACAUAUAUGGAUUUAAUUUUUAAUAUAUUCACUGAGGUCUUUUGUUUAAAGUAACGUAUCAUGAUUUUGAAACUACUCUCUCCCGU